GACGAACGCUGGCGGCGUGCUUAACACAUGCAAGUCGAACGGAAAGGCCCUGCUUUUGUGGGGUGCUCGGGUGGCGAACGGGUGAGUAACACGUGAGUAACCUGCCCUUGACUUUGGGAUAACUUCAGGAAACUGGGGCUAAUACCGGAUAGGAGCUCCUGCUGCAUGGUGGGGGUUGGAAAGUUUCUGCGGUUGGGGAGGGACUCGCGGCUUUUCAGCUUGUUGGUGGGGUAGUGGCUUACCAAGGCUUUGACGGGUAGCCGGCCUGAGAGGGUGACCGGCCACAUUGGGACUGAGAGACGGCCCAGACGCCUACGGGAGGCAGCAGUGGGGAAUAUUGCACAAUGGGCGGAAGCCUGAUGCAGCAACGCCGCGUGCGGGAUGACGGCCUUCGGGUUGUAAACCGCUUUCGCCUGUGACGAAGCGUGAGUGACGGUAAUGGGUAAAGAAGCACCGGCUAACUACGUG
rnacentral:rRNA from 1 species